rnacentral:tmRNA from 1 species
GGGGCUGAUUUUGGUUUCGACUCCGUACAUGAAGCCAGGGGAAGCGUGCCGGUGCAGGCUAGAGACCACCGUUAAGCGUCGUAGCAACCAAUUAAGCGCCGAGAACUCUCAGCGCGACUACGCCCUCGCUGCCUAAUACAGCGACCGCGUGUCUGUCGAACCCAUACCCGUCCCUGGUGUGGAGUUCGGCAUCGACUUCAAGGGACUUGCUGCCAGCUCGCGUUAGCGGGGGCUGGCGGGACUUCUUACCGCUAACUGGGCUCAUCAUCCGAACGUGUUCGUCCGAGUCGGAGGGCCGAGUAGAGAUCGUUGCGCGAACUGCGCACGGAGAAGCCCUGGCAACGUGACGUAGGACCCGGGUUCAAUUCCCGGCAGCUCCACGA